CCUUGACAGUCGGAUAAACUGACUGACAUUUGCCACGACAAGGAGAUUUAAAUG
ncrna:unclassified sequences Mu-gpT-DE RNA